rnacentral:misc_RNA from 1 species
UCUCCGUUGGUGAACCAGCGGAGGGAUCAUUACCGAUUUUACAACUCUCAAACCCUAUGUGAACCUUACCAAUCGUUGUCACGGCGGACCUCGACCGCCCGGGGUACCAAGCUCUCGUUUUUUCAGCUCUAUUCUCUCUGAGUCGCACAAACAAAGAAAUUAAAACUUUCAAUUACGGAUCUCUUGGUUCUUGCAUCGAUUAAGAACGCAGC